GGGGCCGUGGUCUAGCAUGGCUAUGACGCCAGCCUGGGGCGCUGGAGGACGUGGGUUCAAAUCCCACCGGCCCCA
rnacentral:tRNA from 3 species